AGUGGCUCAUUCACCUUCUUAUGUCAGCCCCUCCGGGACGCGCUACAUAAACCUCGAAUGACGCACAACAAGGUGCCUGCCGUCCAGCUUCUGAUAAUAGCCUUGCGCUUUAUCAACCAUCGGGCGAAACGUCGAGUUAGGCACCGCCU
rnacentral:sRNA from 1 species